rnacentral:rRNA from 1 species
UACGAAGGGGCUAGCGUUGCUCGGAAUUACUGGGCGUAAAGCGCACGUAGGCGGAUUGUUAAGUCGGGGGUGAAAUCCUGGAGCUCAACUCCAGAACUGCCUUCGAUACUGGCGAUCUCGAGUUCGGGAGAGGUGAGUGGGAACUGCGAGUGUAGAGGUGAAAUUCGUAGAUAUUCGCAAGAACACCAGUGGCGAAGGCGGACUC